UUGACAUUUCUGGAGACCAAAAUCCUUUAUUUAUGCACAGAGCAGCUUCAGCAUAGGCAAUAGCAGUGAAUGCUGCCACAUCCUCCUUUACCAAGAUACUUCACCCUUAAGUUGGAAAAAUAGUCUUCAAUGCACAUUCAGUCCUCAGUCAUU
rnacentral:sRNA from 1 species